AUCCUGGGUGGAUGAAUGGGGUUAGUGGCCCAGAACAUGUCAUCUUCAAGUGACCUGCUUCGCCACACUCACGUAACUUCUCAGGAACACCUCCCUUGCAACAUGGGCAGUGUAGCUCCAGUUGUGAAGGAGAAAGGAUAUCGAAAAAGGAACAGCCACAGCUGUAUGCAGAACAAUGAAUGCGCACUUCUUUGAGCUCAGUCUCUGUGAACUGCACACGUUGGUUGUUCAGCCCGUUCUUCCUGAUCUGACAAUGGUCUUGAGGAGGAGACUUAACAGUCUGGAGAUCUGGUGUAAGAUGGUCGGCUGUGUUUGCAUCCAAACCACUGAACUCGGCGGAAUGUUGGAGCACAGCACUAUUGGAGGCACACUGAAUAAAGCUUUCAACUACUGACAGCAUCUGAAGAACAUCAGGAAAAUGCUGAAAGCCUAGGUUUUCAAAUUUCAGAAAUCUGUGGCCUAUGUGGCUCCAUAGGCAGCUCUGGGCACUACUCAGAGAUCCAGUAAUAUUCAAAGAUUCCAGUGAUAUUCCAGCAUGAAGCCGUGCCUUGGUGUCUUCAGCUGGCGCUAGAACUGCCUAGCAAGUAAUAUAAUAGCUGGAGGGAAAAAAAAAUGGUGUAAUGCAGCAUGGCAACAAAUCUCUCUUCACUAAUACGUUCCGAAGAAUGGCUGCUGAAGCUGGGGAUGACCAAGGGAGCACCGAGUGCCUGGGAGAAUCUCUGCAGAGUAGUUGCAUUGCUGUGAACUCCACCAUGCUGCUGGAAUAGAAAGGAAGAGCCAGAUCAGAAGCAGUCACACAGGAGAAGGUUUCUGAAAGCCCAGUGGGCUUUAUGUCAUGAGAAGGUCACGAGCAGUGAGCUGUCAAACUGUGCAUUGAGGCCUUACUUCUGCUGUAAAGUUAUGGCUGUAUUACUGUACCAGGUAGUGGAAAAUCAGGCUCAACAGUUAUUCUUCAUUAAAUGUAAAAUGUUUGCAUUUUAGCCAAUUAAAAUAUCUCAGUGUGUUCAAAUAAUCUGUAAAUCCAUGAUUCUGGAACCUGCCCAGAACUAAUUUAAAAAGCCAGUACCUGUAACAAAGACGUCACAAGUCAAAGAAUAUUAAAAGUGCCUUACUGUUCUAUAAAAUGAACACAGUUGGGUGAGAUUGCUCAGUCAGCAGGGUUGGUCAUGCUUGAGCAGGCUUAGCUCACUUUAAGUGCACCCUCUUACCUUAGGGUUGGGUCUUCUACCUGUGCUUCUCUGGUUCUCCACUGUAUUCCUAGUGCUGGGCAGGCACUUUGUAAAUAAAUAUUUUCCAAUUUGAAAAUGCCAGUUCAACAGUGGGAACUGGUAUCAAGUUGUGUGUUUCAAAUUGGAAGCAUUCAUUCUUAGUAAAAGAGAAUUUGUUCAAAGCUCAUUGCAAAGCUUUUGGAAUUGAAUGCUUCUUAUUUACAAUGCCUCUUUCAGAAAAGCUCUUUUAAAAAAUAAAAACAUUUUAAUAAAAUGGUAUAUUUCUAUUGACAGGGCAUUAGGGGAAUGUUUUAUUACACGGGAAUUUACAAAUUCUCUGGUCUUUUUUCCUCUUCAAACUUGGACAUAUUUCAAAAUGUCAGAAUUUCCUGUGGAACAGAAUUUUCAGUUCUGACAUACCCUUGUCUGUUGAGCCCUUAGAAUGAAGAACAGUCAUUAACAUUGGUAAUCAGCCAACAAACCCAAACUUGCAGGAGAGACAAAAAAGGUUAAGAGAGAGAGAGAGAGUAGAAAUACCUUAUGCAGACUUUUGUACUCAGCAUGUCCUCAGUAACUCAAGCAUACACACAAUUGUCUCUCUAACUGAACUUAGGUAUGGGAGCUUUCUAGCCCUAAACCUCUGACAUUGUUGUAUAAAGGAGGCAUCAGUGGUAUGGUACAACCCAUUCUUCAAAUCAUUUUUUUCAGCAAGCUGAAAAAUAAGGAAUAAGAUGAUAGGCUUUGUUUAAAUCUGUAGCAAAAAUAAUCACUCAUAAAGUCAUGGAAUGUGGAUGCAAGCAUUUGGGGCCUUUUAAAGCUGCCUUGCUUUGCUCAGCUGUACUACUUCAACUACUCAUUGUUGGCGUACUUGAAUCUUCAUCUACAAACUUGGAAAUCUCAAUUCCCCAUCUGAGUUAAAAGUCUAUAAUUUAUGUCCACAAAGUCUUCUGUUUUUUUUUUCAAGGAAAUUUAUCAAGUGGUUUCUCUGUCUCAAAUCCCCUUUCUGAAGAUUAAAAGAGGGAAUAUCUAAAGAAGAUAUAAUAUCCGGUGGCAUUCAGCUACUCAAUAAGAUUGAUUCUGCCUAAGAAGACGAUGGAUAAUUCACACUAUCGGACCAAUUUUCUUUUAAUUCCUAGAAAUGCUUCCAUCAGAUCAUAUACACCAAUGUAGACAAAGAGAGAGAGAUGUGGAGAGAUUUGUAGACAUCAGUAAAUACAGCCAGUUAACUUUUGACGAACUGAGGACCAGAGAAAGAAUAGCUAAUGAUUUGGAAGGAGGUUCUGUGGUACUAUUGCUUUUAAAAGAAAUAAUUUAAAAAAGGAACCAAAAAAUGUUCAGGGCUUUGUUUAUUACAAGAAUGUAUAAAUCUGGGUGCACAAAGAACAAAUAUGCUAUCUACAUAAAACACUUCAGUUUCCUGGCUCCUCCUACUUGGAUUUACUGGAUUAUAGCCAAGGAGUCGUAACUGCCAGAUUUUUCUCUAACAGAAAACCCAUCUGAGCGGAAUUUAGUAUUGGCAGAGGAUGUUUGGAGACAUGUGUGAAAAAUUAGGAACCCUUUAAGGGAAGAAGUCACCCAAUUAAAAACGUGCAGAAAAUAAUCCAUCAUACAUUCCCAUCAAAUCCCUUUUGCUUUCAAGUACCAAAAUAAUGACUGGAUGAGACCCGAGUUGAGUCUAGAGCUGGCUGAACUGCUUAUUGUGGAUUGAACAUUGUUUUUGAAGGGAGAAAAUUCUGAAAUGAGCUUUUUAAUGUUUUUAGUCUUGAUUUUAAGUUCUUUCCCUGUGGAAUAUUUUUGCAUUAAUAAUAUUCAGUGUUUUGGCUGUUUGAAUGAGCUUUCUUCAAGCGUUUUAGUGUAUUUGUACGUGCCAUGUGUUUGUACUUUCAAGUAGUGUUUUUCCUGUCUGGAUGACUCUUAAAUUUUAAAUAGGAUCACAAAUCAAUGAAUGAAAACAUCAAACUGUCACAUAUUCAGUUUCAAGAGGAUAAUCACUUUCUUAAAACGUAUGAAACAUUUGUAAUCACAGGCAUUUGGACGAAGCGCUCAGUGAUUUUCUAAAAAGCAGCACAAUAAUAAUACUAAUUAACAGAUCACAUUCUGCAGCUUAUGAGCAACCAUAUUUGCUACUUAAGAGGCUUUUAGUUUUGCUUUGUAAAUACUGACUCAACUCUACCAUAAUGCGUGUGGUACAGGACCAGUAGAAUGUAAAACAGGGAGUUAGUUUUUCUGUUGUGCUGAGAAAACCAAAAAGCUGCAAAGGAAAGAAAGCUCAGUGUUCUUCUUCUUCUUUUUUUUUUUUUCUUCACCCCAAAAUAGAGCUAAGUGUUGGAUUUCACAAUUUUGUAAUUAUUAAUCAAAGCACAUUCUUCUUCAAAGUAAUAGCCCCAUUUUUAUAGAAAAAGUCAAAAUAAUUUCCUUAUUUCCAUAGUUAAAUAUUUACUUUCCAACAUUAUGAAACCUUUGAGUGGCAUUCAUUUCAUCAGCUAUAAGAAUCACAGUUUCAAAUGCAUACCCUUGAACAAAAUAAAUUGACCUCCAGACAUGCCUGUUUCUCCACAUUGGCUAAAACUUUGGGGUUAGACAAAAUGCUUAACUUAGUCUUGGCUACAGAUAAGUAUUUUCCCAAAAGAAACUCUCCCCAAGCCUGUCUUUUUUGGAGUAGGUUUGAAAUUGCUUUACAUAUUGAACUCUUAAGUAUGUGAUUGCUUGUCAGCUCAAACUUGAGUUACUCCGCAUAUUUGGUUCGGCUUCACAUCUGAAGAAUGCCCCAGAGAGAGAAAUGAUCAUAUAGCCUUUACUUCUCUACCGAAUUUAAGUUCCAUUAUUUUUUCCCAUUUUAUCUCUUUUAUCAUAGCUGCAGGGUAUGUUACAGAGUUAUCCUUUACUCUGCUAAUCAAGAAGAAUGUGUCUAUUAUUCUCUACAUUUAUUUCAUAGAAGAGAUCACUGUUCCUGGGCAUAUGCAAGCAAACUCUUCACAUCACCAGACAUCAUUGGAAGUCUGAACAGCACACUGAAUUUCCAGCUUUGUGGCUUCUAUGAUUGAUUAAAAAGACACUCACAACCUGUGAAGAUUAAAUAACUUUAAAAUGAAUAUGAAAUACAUUUUGUAUCCUUAUAUUGAUGAAACUACUUCUGGAAAUAAAGAGAUUUAAUUUAGUACUUUUUGUUUCUUGUGCAAAUUGUGGUAUCCUUAUCAAUGUAUGUCUUAUUAGACAACUAGUUACAACAUUUUUUCAUAGAAUCAAUGCAAAAUUCAAGGAAUAUCAUAAGAAAGGGAAGUCUAGUCUUCUGCUCAAAACAGGACUAGCUUCAAUAUUAGGUCAGGUUGCUCUGGGUUUUGUCUAGUUGAGUUAUGAGUACUUGCCAGAAUGGUCUCCACAAGUCCUUUGGACAACUUGUUUUGAUGUUUGGCCACCUUCAUUGUGAGGAUUUUUUCCUAAUCAGAAUUUCCUUUUUGUGAUUCAUCUCUGUUGCCUCUUUUGCUAUUGACUUCCCAGAAAGUGUCUUCAUUUUCCUUGUAACUAUCCAGCAGGUAGUCACGACAGCAGUUAGAUGCCCCUUUUAGCCUUCUCUUCUGCAGACCAAGUUCUCUCAGCCUCUGUAAAUCAUGCACACCAGACCUGGCCAUUUUAGUGAUGCUCUGCUAAUGUAUAAUUUUCCCAUUUUCUGCAUUUUCUUAGGAUUUCUACCUUAAAAAAUCCCAAGCCCUUGAAGUUAAAGCAAAUCUUUAUUUGUAUAAUUGCUGAUAAAUUUGCUGUAACUUGAUCAUCCCAAAAGAGAACUGCUUGAAAAGUAUAACCAGCCUUUCUAGUCAUCUGGUCUGUAGAAGGGUGGAUUACUCUGUCAAGGCAGCCGAAUUUAACAGGGAAAAGAACCAGAUUUAGCAACCAUAUCAAAAGCAGACAUUGUCUCAAGAGACAUAAGACUCAUACUCCAUCCAGAUACGAGCCAAGGCGAGUAGCACAAACAAGUUCCUAACUCCCUAUUUAAAGGGGGAUGGAAAGUGUAUUUCUUAUCUAAAACUGUUUAAACUCCAAAAUUAGUAAUGAUUAUGCAUAGGGUUAAAAAUUACACAUAUAUUUAUGGAGCCGUGCUGUAGAAGAGCAAUGACAGCGUGAUCAGAACUAAUGCACUGAGACCCUUCUCAGCAUAAAAUAUUAAGAGUUAACAUAAAGUACAGAAACACAGAAUCACAGGAUAGCUUGUGUUGGAAGGGACCUUAUAGGUCAUUUGGUUCCAACUCCUGCCAUGGGCAGGGCUGCCACCCACCAGAUCAGGUUGCACAGUGCCCCAUCCAGCUUGACCUUGAAUGUCUCCAGGGACGGAGCAUGACAAAGGGGCACGAAAAUUAUCACACGUGUUAGUAGAGGGCCUCUAAGAUGAUCAAGAAUCUGGACAGCAUGACUGGAAUUGAAAUGGCAGUUCUUCCUUGACUUUAGUAACACCACUGUAGACUGGCAGAUUGCUCCUCCAUUAACUUCACAUUCAUAGAACAUCCUCUGAGCCUAGACCUACUUUCAUGUUCAUGGGAUCUGUUUUAAAUACCAUAGGGGAAACUGGACCUGUACUCCUAGCCCCUGCGCGUGGAAGCCCCAGAGUUAGCAUCAAAUGCAGAAUGAAGCCUGUUAGGAACUGAAGUGAAGAGUCAGCUGGGAAGGGACAUGUGUGCCAUCCUGAAAGCAGGCUGAGCGCCUGCUGCUGCCGCUGGCCCUUCUGCAAGUAGGUCAGCGGCCUAUUUGUGGUGUCCGUGCGGCUGCAGGCUGCCAGCAGGGAGUGAGUCAGCUGGGCCACAGGAACCCUGCACAAGGCCGCGGCCGUGGGGAGCCUCUGCUGUUUCCCUUCCCAAAGCACUUCGCCCCCUCCCUGCAGUGCGGAGAAAUUGAAUCCCACUUUCAGGAGAGUCAAAGGAUACGUGCUCGUUCUUGCGGGACAGCUGGGGGCUGGCAGUCUCGGCUGUCUGAUGGCUGCUGUUUUGCUUCUGGGAGUGAGAGCUGAAAGACUUCCCCUGACCCCAAAAGCUCCAGCCAUAGUCUGAGUCUGAGAUGGUGCCAAUGCCCUUCCUGUAGCAAGGCUGAUAUAUUUUUAUCUCAUCUUUGUAAGCAACACCACCAACUGCAACACCAUCUGCAGGGGCGAAGAGAACUUCUGCCAGGUAUGGGGUUGUUUUUAUAGGUAGCAGGAUUUGACUUGCUUGUUGAAGGAACUUGGGCCCAUUUGUCGUGUCAUGGUGAUGUGGUUUAACCAGACACGUGGACCUCCUGUCCAUUGGGUGACCACUGGGAAAGUAUCCCUUCAUUCCUUUCAGACCAAGCACAACUGCUGGAGUGAUGGACACAAGGAGAAAAUCAGCAGCCUAUUAACCAACCUGGCUUCUGAAUCACUAAUUCUGUCUGCUGUGCCUCAGCUGUGUAAUUCUCUCCUGCACAGCAAAACAGAAUUUGUGAUCUCUACAUGUUUUUCCACGACUUCUGGACCUAUGCCUAGAAGACAAAAUCAGUGCAUAAUAUAAACGAUUAAGAUAGGCAGUAUUAUAAAUUAAUAUAUUAUAGCAAUUAAAAUAAUAUUUAUUACUAUAUAUUAGAAAUUAAUAUAGAGGCAAAUGUAUGCAGCUAGCUAGGCUGCUAGUGUCCAGAAAUUCCUCCAAUGUGCACUGUGCAAAGGCAGACCUUUUCUCUUGCUUUGGUGCAUGUUCAGUAAGCUUAGUUAUGAUAUCUACGUUUCAAGGUAUGUAUUGUGCUAUUAAAGUGCACAUGUGCAAAAUGUCCAUUAUAUCCCAAAUAUUUCAGAUUUACGUGACCCACAGAGACAAAGCAGCUGUGUCCCCAGUGACUAUUUAUUUGUAAAAGAGCCUCAAGAUUUUUCCCAUGUGAUUCUGCUCGUUGCUUGCUGUUGAGCUAGUAACAUUUCCCAUCUUUCCUUCCCUCCAUAGUCCUGACACUUUGCCUGUUUUGUUUUAAAAAGGAGUUACUGUAGAAGUUUCCAAAGGAUAAUUAUCUGGGGAAAUACUUGUGUUCUCUGGAAGUCAGCAUCAUGAAAUACCUGCGGAUUUUCUUCAAAGAGGACGAAAGUUUAAAUACAGGAACACUGGCACAUUAGCUCAUUUCUAUUUUUUAUCUGCCUAUUUUAGAUUUGUAGCUACAGGCAAACCCUAACGUAGGGUAAACUUUGGCUUAAGG
ensembl:lncRNA